rnacentral:rRNA from 1 species
CAGCCGCCACGGGAAUACAGAGGGUGCGAGCGUUAAUCGGAUUUACUGGGCGUAAAGCGUGCGUAGGCGGCUUUUUAAGUCGGAUGUGAAAUCCCUGAGCUUAACUUAGGAAUUGCAUUCGAUACUGGGAAGCUAGAGUAUGGGAGAGGAUGGUAGAAUUCCAGGUGUAGCGGUGAAAUGCGUAGAGAUCUGGAGGAAUACCGAUGGCGAAGGCAGCCAUCUGGCCUAAUACUGACGCUGAGGUACGAAAGCAUGGGGAGCAAACAGGAUUAGAGACCCCCGUAGUCCCUGUCUCUUAUAC